UACGUAAGGGGCAAGCGUUGCUCGGAAUUACUGGGCGUAAAGCGCACGUAGGCGGAUUGUUAAGUCGGGGGUGAAAUCCUGGAGCUCAACUCCAGAACUGCCUUCGAUACUGGCGAUCUCGAGUUCGGGAGAGGUGAGUGGAACUGCGAGUGUAGAGGUGAAAUUCGUAGAUAUUCGCAAGAACACCAGUGGCGAAGGCGGCUCACUGGCCCGAUACUGACGCUGAGGUGCGAAAGCGUGGGGAGCAAACAGG
rnacentral:rRNA from 1 species